rnacentral:lncRNA from 1 species
GUGACUUCCCCCGUGGUAUUCUUGUGAUAGUGAGCAGGAUCUCACAAGAUCUCAUGGUUUUAUAAUGGGUUUCCCCUUUCACUUGACUUUCAUUCUUCUCCUUCCUGCUGCCAUGUGAAGAAGGAUGCAUUUGCUUUCUCUUUUGCCACGAUUGUAAGUUUCCUGAGUCCUCACCAGCCCUGUGAAACCGUGAGUCAGUUAAACUUCUUUUCUUUAUCAAUUACUCAGUCUCAGGCAGCUCCUUUUUUAUUCCAAUAAUCACUUUAUUUUUUAAAUUUCAUCUUUUAAUCCUCAAAACACUUUUACGUAUUAGAGUCAACCUCUUAAGUAGCAUUUCUUAAGUUACUCUCGUACAGGUGGUAUUUGUUUACAUGAGUAAGUUCUUUAGUGGUGAUUUGUUAGAUUUUUGGUGUACCCAUCAUAAAAAGGAGCCCACAUAGCCAAAGCAAGACUAAGCAAAAAAACAAAUCUGAAGGCAUCACAUUACUUGAUUUCAAACUCUAUUAUAAGGUCAUAGUGUCACCAAAACAGCAUGGUACUGGUCUAAAAAUGGCACAUAGACCAAUGGAACAAUAUAGGGAACACAGAUAUAAACCCAAAUACUUACAGCCAACUGAUCUUUGACAAAGCAAGCCAAAACAUAAAGUGGGGGAAGGACCCCCUUUUCAACAAAUGGUGCUGGGAUAAUUGGCAAGCCACAUGUAGGAGAACAAAACUGGAUGCUCAUCUCUCACCUUAUACAAAAAUCAGCUCAAGAUGGAUUAAGUAUUUAAACUAAGAACUGAAACUAUAAAAAUUCUAGAAGAUAACAUUGGAAAAACCCUUCUAGACAUUGGUUUAGGCAAGGAUUUCAUGACAAGAACCCAAAAGCAAAUGCAAUAAAAUCAAAGAUAAAUAACUGCGACCUAAUUAAAGAGCUUUUGCAUGGCAAAAGGAACAGUCAACAGGGUAAACAGACGAACCACAGAGUGGGAGAAAAUCUUCACAAUCUAUACAUCUGACAAAGGACAAAUAACCAGAAUCUACAAUGAACUCAAAUCAGUAAGAAAAAUACAAACAAUCCCAUCAAAAAGUGGACUUAGGACAUGGAUAGACAAUUCUCAAAAGAAGAUACACAAAUGGCCAACAAACAUAUGAAACAAUGUUCAACAUUGGGCAGUUCUUUAUACCAGCAUGAGAAUGGACUAAUACAGCGACUAUUCUAUAAAAUGCUUGGCAGUUUCCUAUAAAGUUGAACGUGCAGUUGAACAUAUAAAAAAGUAAAUAAAUGAAUAAAUAAAGCCCUUCCCUACCCUUUGACCUAGCAAUUAUAUUCCUCAGGAUUUAUCCAAGAAAUAUUAAAAUAUGUCUACAAAAGGCCGGGCUCAGUGGCUAACGCCUGUAAUCCCAGCACUUUGGGAGGCUGAGGCGGGUGGAUCACGAGGUCAGGAGUUUGAGACCAGCCUGGCCAAUAUGGUGAAAUUCCAUCUCUACUAAAAAUACAAAAAUUAGCGAGGUGUAGUGGCAUGUGCCUGUAGUCCCAGCUACUUGGGAGGCUGAGACAGAAUAAUUGCUUGAACCCAGGAGGCGGAGAUUGCAGUGAGCCAAGAUUGUGCCAUUGCACUACAGCUGUAAAUACAAAAUUCAAUCUACAGCAGGAUAGAUACACACUGUGCAUCAAAUUCGUACAAUGAAAUACUACUCAUCAAUAAAAAGAAGAAAAACUGAUUUCUUUACUAUUUGUAAAUCUCAUAGAUAAUUUGAUGAACAAAAUAAGCCAAAGACAAGAAAGUACAUAUGAUAAGAUUUCCCUUAUACGAAGUUCUAAAGUAUUCAAAACUAAUUUAUAGUGAAAAGAUAAUCUAACUGUGGUUGCCUAGGGUUUGCGGGGGUAUAGGGAGAUAUAAUUUACCCCUAUGGCAAAUGAGAGAGUUCUUUGGUUUGAAGGAAAUUUUCUAUAUCUUAUUAUUGUUAUUCAUUGCACGAGUAUAUUCACUUGUUAAAACUCAUUAAACUCAGUGAAUUUCAAUGUGUGUAAAGAAGUAGACAGGUAGUAAACUCUAGUUAAUAUAUUGAAAAUAAUGAAAUCCAUGUUUCUCACUGCUGAGAGAGUUUCAGUAUUGGAAAGGGGAAAACUAAUAUAUACUAUGUGAUGUUGGAUUGAAAAUAUCAAUAUUUAUUUACAUCAUAUAUAUUUGUGUGUGUGUGUGUGUGUGUGUGUGUGUGUGACAGAGAGAGAGAAAGAGAGACAGAAAGAGAGGGAGAGAGAGAAGGGAGAAAGAAGAAGAGGAAAGGCAGGAGAGAAAAAAAAGAAUAAGCACACCCAGCAUUCAUAUUUAAAUACCAUUUCCCACUAAAAGGAUCCAUGGCUUAAUGGAGAAAUGGUUACCAUUUUCAGGGCUAGAAAAGAGCAAUAUAAGCCUGGAGCAUCUUGUUGCAUUGAGGAAGAUGAGCUCAAAGAAUUAGGGAAAUAUGUCAAAAUGCACAAGUCAGUUUGACAGGGCUCCCUCUUGUCAUAUUCAAAGUAAAUAUUGAAAGGAUUGGAUUGAAAUAACUCAAUAAAGUAAUAAAUCAUAAACCCAUACUCAUAGAAGUAAAUAAAUGAAUAAAUAAAUAAAGCCCUUCCCUACACUAGAGUGCCAAAUAAUAAGCAUAGCAGAAAUGAUAUAUUUGAAAUUAACAGUGGAUGCUAAACUUACAGGGUAGUUGUUGAUUGGAAAGACAUUGUUUCAAAGUAUCUCCAAAAAUCUACUCAUUAACUUCAAAGGAAAAAGUGUAAUAAUAUCAUUCAAUAAUGUAGGUAAUACCACCUGAACCAAAAUAACAAACAUAGCAUAAUCAAAAUUGGGACAAACAAAAUUGUGUCUAAUAAGAAACUCAGAGAAAGACAAAACAUCAUUACUUCUGUUAAUCUAAUCAUGAGGAGGCACUGGACAGACCUAAGGUGGGAGAUAGUCUACAAAAUAACCAGGCCUGUCCUCUUAAAAAAUGUUAAACUCAAUACAUAGAAAGAAAGACUGAAAUAUGACAAUUAAAUACAAUAUGCAAUUGUGGAAUUUGUUUCUGGAAAAGAAAAAUAGCUAUAAAAUACAUUAUUAUGAAACUUCAUUGAAUAUAAUAUUGUCUGUAGAUCGGAUAAUUUCCUUAUUUUUCCUAGUAUUUAAAAUUUUUCCGUGGUUUUGUAAGAAAUUGUAUAAUUUCUUAAGAAAUAUGAACUAAAUUAUUUAAGGUUAAAGAAUCAGAAUACUUUCAGCUUACUAUAAGAUACAUACAAAAUCUGUAUGUAUAAAAUUAAUACACUAUAAGAUACAUACAAAAUCCUGUAUGUGUAAAAUUAAUACACAGAUAUGUAAAUGGUCUAAAAUGAAACAAGCAUUGCAUUUGGAUAAAGGGUAUAUAAGACUUCCUGACACGAUUCUAGCAACUUUCCUGUAAAUUUGAAGCUAUUUCAAAAUAUAAACUAUGCCCCCUGUGAUGGUUAAUAUUAAGGAUCAACUUGAUUGAAGAAUUCAAAGUACUGUUCCGGGGUGUAUCUGUGAGGGUGUUACCAAAGGAGAUUAACAUUUGAGUUAGUGGGCUGGGAGAGGCAGACCCACCCUCAAUCCAGUUAGGCACCAUAUAAUCAGCUGCCAGCCCAGCUAGAAUAAAGCAGGCAGAAGAACAUGAAAGGACUUGACUUGCUGAUUCUUCUGGCCUUCAUUUUUCUCCUGUGCUGGAUGCUUCCUGCCUUCGAACAUCAGACUCCAAGUUCUUCAGCUUUUGGACUCUUGGACUUACAUCAAUGGUUUGCCAGGGGCUCUUGAGCCUUUGACCACAGACUGAAGGCUUCACUGUCUGCUUCCUACUUUUGAGGUUUUGGGACGCAAACUAAUCCACCACUGGCUUCCUUGCUGUUCACCUUGCAGACAACCUACCGUGGGACUUCAUCUUGUGAUGGUGGAUCAUGGCUUAUUUGAGCUGUUGCUCCUCAGUGGACAUCAUAGGAUCUUGCAGAUGUGUAUCAAUCCUUCGCAAGUAGGUGCCCAGGAAGUCCUGGAACUGAGUCCUGGGGCAAGGUUCUGGAAGUUGGGACAAGAAGGCUGAACCUCGCUGGUGAUUCAGAUGGAUCAUGAGGAUCUUUCAACAAAGCUAAGUUCCCGUCUUUUAACGCAGUUAUUCUCAUACUUUUAUACUGAAAUAUCCAGAAUAGCAAAUGAGUUAAAUAUGUUUUCUGUGGGGUUCUGUACAAAGAAGAUUUAGAGCUUUAUGAACCUAAAAUAACAUAUCACAAGGAGAAAAUUUACUUGAAGUGGGAGACUUGGCUUAAAAGCAUCUAAUAUAAAUUGUAUAUUAUAUUCAAUAAUACAAAAGCAAUGCUUUAUUUAGAAUGAAUUAAAAUGCAUGCUUCAGACAAAAUGCAUGAUGUUUAGCUUUUGAUUUACUGAAUAUACUAUUCAACAGAUGUUUGAGUUACAUAGUUUGAGGAGCACAGGCCUUUGGUAUUGAUGGCUCCUGUUAAAAUAAAAACAUGUUUUCUGAGAGCAUAAUCAUAUGAAACCAGGAGCACAUAUUAACAUAAAACUCAAAUCACUUCCCCUGACUUUCUUCUUUCAAAUGUAAAGAAAGUGGGAAACAGGACAGAUGAAUUUGAAGAAACAGAAGAGCUCAGGAAAGUUCAAAGCAUGAAGCAAACUCAAAAGUAUAUCUAAAUACCUAGGGAGCACCUUCAAAGCACAAGGUACCUGAAGAUGAAACGGCAGAAGUGAAAAGAAUUGCUCGUGUAGUACAGGGCUAAAAUUGUACCUGAAGCAUCUCUGCUGCUAUCCCAGGAGAAGAAGAGUCGACAGUAGCUAUGAAUAAUCAUGGAAAUUUCAAUGGAAACAACAUAUCACAUUCUCUGUCUACUACAUAAGUAUGUCUUUUUUAUUUGUAAAUAGAUCAUAUUUUGCACAUAAUUAGGUAAUACCCACAUAUCUCAAUUUGGCUUAGGAAUUAUAUUGAAAGAUAGAAUUGCAUAAGGGUAGGGAUUUUACUUUUAAAUUAUUUUCAUGUCUCCAUGGAUUGGCUCUGUGCUUUACACCCAGUAGCUGUGAAACAAGUACUUAUUUAAUGAUGAAUGAAUAAAUAAAUAAAUAGUUAAAUGCAGCAACAAAAAUGUUGGUAGAUAUAUAGGAUUGUAGAAUCUAAUUGCUUAGUAGGAUCAUCAAGUUCUACCCAAAUUUGGUGUGGCAAACAGAACAAUGGUCCCUUAAGGAUGGCCUAGUCCUAACCUCCCAAACCUGGAAUAUGUUACCUUAUGUAACAAAGAGACUUUGCAGAUGUAAUUAAGUUAAUGAUCUUAAGACAGAAAUAUUAUUCUAAGUGAACUCAAUGAAAUUACAAUGAACAAUGUUCCUUAAAAGAGGAAGGCAAAAGUUCAGAAUGAAACACACAGACACACAUAAAGUGGCUACGAAAGCAGAAGUAGUGAGAGAUUUGAAGAUGCUACCUUACUAGAUUCAAAGACAGAGGAAGGGGUUAAAAUCUGAGGAAAUCAGGCAAGGCAGCCUUUCGAAGCUGCAGAAGAUGAGGAAAUGAAUUCUCCCUAGAACUUCCAGAUAGAAACAGCCCUACUGAUGCCUUGACAUUAGCUCAGUGAAACGUAUUUUCAGACUCUAACUUCCAGAUCUGUAGGAGAUAAAUUUGUGUUGUUUAAGCUACUACAUUUGUGGCAGUUUGUCAAAGUAGCAAAAGGAAACGUAUAUUUGGUAGGCAUCAGAAUUUCCUGAGCAAUAUAGUGUGAUUACCUUUGAAAAUUCUACUCAGCAGUCCUGGAAUUGCAGCCUGAAAUUUGAAAUUUACUAAGUGCUCCCACUAUAUCUGAGUCAGGAAUUACCUAGGAAACCAUGAUAUAUUGCAUUACACUAAUUUUGUACUUGAGAAAAAGCACAAUGUUAAAAUCUCAAGAACAUUAAUAUAGACUUAAGUACAAUUUAUCAUGUAAAAACAUAUUUGAAAAAGUAAGCCUGAAAAAAAGAAACAACUGAACUAUUAACACUAUAUUCUCUAACUAUAUAUUGAUUUUCUCCUUUUGCUUUUACACAGCGAACCACAUAUACUUUCACAGAGGGUGAUUUGGAUAAUAUGUUCCAUGCAUUGCUCCAAGCAGAAAUUCUCAAUCUAUCAUUUCUGCUUGUAUUAUUUUACACCUCUUAAAGACAUUCACAUUCCAUCACAGGGAGCCAAAAUCAGCCUGUUAUAUCUCUGUUUGCGAAUACCGCAAUACUUACUUUACUUUCUCCUGAAUAGAUUGUUAGUGGUUUUUAUUAUCUCCUGUAAAGAGUGUGAGAAAUGCAUGUUGCAAGGACACUUUUGUUUUAUUCACAUUAUUCUACUGAAUCAUGCUAACCAUAGCAUUACAUCUAUUUAUCUAUCUAGCUAUUAAACAUAUUCAGAAUACCUAACAACUUUAGGGGCAUUCAGUAUAUAGAAUAUGCUAGUAUUUGUUAUUUUCUAAAAAUUAAUAAUUAAGAAUGUCAUUCUAUUAUUGCAUUAGUGACUUAGUUAAAAUUUAGACCAUUAACAAAAAAGAGAUGAAAAAAAAAACAAAAAACAUUAGGCACUAAAGGAGUCCUCAGCAAUGGCUUUUUCAAAAUGAUAAUUUGGCAUCAUAAAGCGGGUAUUUGGUAACCAUACUCUAUUACAGAACAGCAAAUGGAAUUUAUGUUCUAUUUUCCCAUAUCCACUUCUUUACUAUAAUUUAGCAAUCAUUGUAAUUCUUACUAUAUAGUUAUUUCAAAUUUGAUAUGAUUCUUAAAGAUGCUCUGAUAGUAACAUUUUCUUUAGUGCCUCAUGUCACUCUCUCUCUCUUUCUUUAAAAAAUAAGUUGUCUUUACAGGAACAAAUUUCACUAUAGAUGCCUGACUUUCUCCUUUCAAAAUGAUUAUUGAAACUCAUUGAGAUCUGGCACUCUGUGUUUCUUAUUUUUAUUCCGUACGUAGGAAAAAAAGAACUCAGAGACACACAUGGUUUUAAGAGGCUGUGACUGUCAACUCUGCCCCUUCCUAUUGAAUAUUGAAGCCUUUAUGUUAUUGAAUACAUUGAAUAUAUUGCAAAUUGGAACCCCAUUAAUAGGAUUCUAAGAAGCCUUACUACUAGAUCUGGAUUCUAAGCCUCCUUGCUUGUAUGAUAGGUUAUUGUCUGAGACAUUAAGCAACUAGACCUAUGUUGGGACACUUGCUUCACAAGGUAAUGCGAUGUAUUAAUAAUGAGGAAAGAAAAAUUGCCCUGCUUGUGCUAGUGAGGAUCUUGAGCACUCUCUAUUUUCUCUUCACUCCUGCUUUAGUGGUUGCAGAAAAGAUUUUUUUUCUGUCAGAUGUACAUGCAGUAGCAAAAAAUUGAAGCAUCUUUCCUCACUAAUGAGCUGCAAAAUUUAACAGUUUGGGGGAGUCUCCAUGGAAACUUUUUAAUAUGGUGACCUAUGAGUGCUAAAUGUGUAUGAGGUGACAAUUCCUUCUACAUGGAAGACUGUCACAGAUAGCAUAUGGUAGGACUUUAUGAAAGCCACUAAAAUUAUUUCUGCCUCAGUUUCCAUCACUAUAAAGGCAUAAUCAUAUAAUCUCCAGUCAUAAGGAUUACUGAGAUAAUCUUUAAAUUUGCAUUAAAUUCCUUGGAGAUAGGCAUUAUAUAAAUAGGAAGCUCCAUAUUAAAUGAACAAAAUUUCAAUAAAGAGUGGCUACACUUAAUGGAUACAAUGUGGUCUGAAAUUUAAGUAAUUGACCAGAAAUCAGGACUUGGGACCAAUUACUGGACAUCCAAUUUGUGUCAUUUGAGAGAAAUUGCAUAGAACAUUCUUUCCUCAUUUUCAACAUUUACUUAUUACAUGAAGUAGAUAAUUUAACACUAAAUAAGGCUAUAGUUACAUUUUCUCCAUGUGUCACUGCAGGCUGCAAAAAAAAGUAUUAUAUUAAAUUAAUAGUCAGAAUCUUUCCCCAAAUGAUGAUAAUUGGAUCUCUGAUUGAAAGGACACCAAAGAAAUGGCUAGAGAAAAUAUAGCUCUGUCCUCAGUAUAUAGUAUUUUUAAUAAUAAUCUAUAUUUUUAAAGUAUUACAUCAUGUUCACUCCAAGAAGGGAGAAAAGAGCUCAAAACAUAUCUGGUGGCACAUCUGUAGUCCCAGCUACUUGGGAGAUUGAGGCAGGAGGAUCACUUUAGCCCAGGAAUUUAAGGCUGCUGUAAGCUAUGAUUGCACCUGUGAAUAGCUACUGUACUACAGCCUGGGCAAUAUAGGAGGAUACUGUCUCUUAAAAAAACAAAACAAAAUAUCUGACAUUUAGCUUAUAAAUCUCAUGUAUUAAUGGUUCAUAUUUCUGUUAUUCAUGCUGACAUAAUUAUUGUGAAGUCUUUUUGCAUGUGAUAAGAAUCUAUAUUCUUAUUCAAUAUCUAUUAAAUAUAUGGUACUCUGCUAGAGUAUUCUGAUGGACUCAGGGUAGAAAAAUGACUAAAACAACAGCUAUCUGAAUUUCUCUAUCUUAAUCAGUAUGCAUAGUGUUAACCUUAUAUAAGAAUGUCCCUAUAGUUAAUCAUUUGUGGUUUCAUUAAGCAGUAUUGAAGCUUUUAGAAGAAAUCACACAUACUGUGAUUUAAGGAAGCCUGGCAGUUACAACAGAAAAAAGAAGCUGAUUCAUGUAGAAUGUCUUGAAAUUUUGUCACUGGUAAUUUUGGCAAGAACAUUAUUAAUGUUAAGAUUUGUUUAUAACCAAUGAGAACACAUGGACACAGGGAGGGGAACAUCACACACCAGGGCCUGUCGGGGUUGGAGGACCAGGGGAGGGAUAGCAUUAGGAGAAAUACCUAAUGUAGAUGAUGAGUUGAUGGGUGCAGCAAACCACCAUGGCACGUGUAUAGGCAUACACUGUAACAAACCUGGAUGUUCUGCACAUGUAUCCCAAAACUUAAAGAAUAAUUUUAAAAAGUUUUUUUUAAAGAUUUGUUUAUAAAAUGGCAAAUUGCUUAAUCAGGGGAAUCCUCAUUGAGUUGAGAAGUAUGAGCUGUGAAGUAUGUUUUGCUGGAAAUAAACUUGUAAGCCGCUACAUAUAUAUUCUCCAAACAGAAAUAAACGCAAACAUCAUUUACCUGGAGGACAGGUUGAGAAUGAGUUAUAGCCUAACAUGACAUACAUAAGAAACUAAAAAAAAAAAAAAAAAAAAAAAAAAAAAAACAGAAUGAGGAUGAUACAUGAUCCCAAAAUAGAAGUAAGCAUUUUUUGGACAGAAAAGAUUCUGAAAAACUUGUGUCCCAAUGGUUCAUCCUUGAAUUGUAUCAUUGCAACUACCCCUCCCUCAUACAUAUACCAUGUCCUCUUCAUGAUUCUGAGAAAUUUUGAAGACCAGAUUCAAGGGGGUUCACAAAUGCCACUAAGACCUUCAUGUUACUAAGAAUGAUUAGUAUAUCAGCCUGGAGAAGCACUUGCUACAGGUUAGGCAAAUUAGGGUCCCCUUAUAGAAGAUGAUUAAAGUAGACAGAAGGAAUAAAAUUAACGUAUUAUUCAAUAAAUCUUCCUUAUGUCUCAUCUGGCUAAAUAAAAGUCCUGGGAAUAUAUUUAUAACUAACCAUUAUGCAAGUUCUUUCAACCCAAAAUAUUUUCUCCCUAUAUUAACUCUAUGUACUCCCCUACACACACACAUAUAUCUCCUAAACUUUUUAAACUAUUCUAAGUUAUGUGCUAGGAAUUGUACUAGGCAUUUUACAAAUAUAAAUUCACGCUAUUUGUACAUUUAGAAAAGUAAGAUACAAGAUUAUUUUUAAUCAAUAUUGACAAAAUUUAUCUUCUUUUUAAACAUAUUGACUAAAUAGUUCAGAGUUCAAAGAUGAAUUAUGAUAAAGAGUGUUUAGCAAAAUGUUUACACAUAAAAUACUUUGAACUCACUAGCAAUGAAGCAAAUAUUAUAGCCCGAAGACUCUCAGGAAAUUUAAUCCAGAAUGGAGGAUACUAAGUGAUGUAUGGAACUGCUUAUUCUACUUAAACAUCAAAACUCCACAUGAAUCUUCGAAGUGUAUCUCUGCGCCUUAAAUGAAAACACAGUUUUGACAUUGUUUAUUGCCUCUUGAGAGGAAACUCUGCUCAAUUCAUAAGUGAAUCAUGAAUUACCCAAUUUUUUCUUCCAUGGGCUUCUCUCAGGGUGCCCCUUGGUUUAACUUCAUUAUGUACAAACAUGGUAUUACCUUCCAUAACACAAUAUUUCAUAUACAGAGUGAUAUAUCAUUUAGAUGACUCUUUAGACCAUCGUUUUGAAAGCUACAGUUUUCUGAGCUAACAAUUAUAUUAUAGCUAUAUAGAAAUAAUAAAACCUUUUUUUUUUCUUUUUUUGAGAUGGAGUCUCACUAUGUCGCCCAGGCUGGAGGGCAGUGGCGCGAUCUCAGCUCACUGCAACCUCCGCCUCUCAGGUUCAAGCGAUUCUCCUGCCUCAGCCUCCCGAGUAGCUGGGUCUGCAGGUGCGUGCCACCAUGCCCAGCUAAUUUUUUGUAUUUUUAGUAGAGACGGGAUUUCACUCUGUUAGCCAGGCUGGUCUCCAUCUCCUGACCUCGUGAUCCGCCCACCUCGUCCUCCCAAAGUGCUAGUAUUACAGGUGUGAGCCACUGCGCCAGGCCAGUAAAAUCUUUCUUAAUUAAACAGCCCUAUAUUGUGCAACUAUAAUAGAAUAUGUGAUAACUAAAUUCAAAGGGUGAGAGAAUCAUAAAAGUUAUCGUACAUGCCUAAACUUAUGUACCAAAAUGUGCUAUGUACAUGCAUACAACUAAGUGUACUAGGCUUUCAUCAGAAGUCCCUUUUAGUUAUCUGCAGCUGCUUUAUUCCUUUUUGUAGAUCCCUUAUAAUUAUAAAAAUAUUUUUAUAUACAUUCGAAAUAUCUUAUGAUUAUAUAUAGUUACACAUAUUUGAUAUAUAUUUAUAUAUGUAUUACAGCGAUGUAUUUCUGAUCAGUGUUUUCUAACAACCACAAAUAUGUGGAAUAUAACUUAUACAAAAAACAUUUUGGAUGACAUAACAACUCAGAAGUAAUAAUUUUCCACACCAAUGACCUGUCUCUACUUCUAAUAUAAAGAAGGCAUCAAGAAGUAUGCUUUCUUAAAUAUGCUCCCCUUCAGCUGACAGUUUAUUGGCUACCAAGACCUAUAGUGAGGAGCAAAUAUACAUUUCUUUAUUUAGAAUAUUGACCCUUGGGAGAGGUGUAUUUCAAAUGCAUUUUUUUUUUUUUUGCAGGCUUGAGUGGUUAAGCUUUUUAACGAUAUAAUUCUACAGAGAUCAUUUCUUCCAAUUUUCUUUAAUUUUCAGUUAAGUAAUCUGUGACCUACUAUACCUAUUCAUUUGGGGAGAAUUACAAUGCAAUUUCAAUUUCAAUUGAAGUCUCUGACCCUUAUUUACUGAAUCAUAAGUAUUUCAUCCGAUUGUAUUUGUGAGCCAAGAACACUUUCUACUUAUUUGGGGAUGCUUCUUUUUAUUAUUUCCUCAGGAUAAGACAAACUUAGUGAGUGGAAGACUAGUUGUGUGGGAGAAUAAUAACUUAUAAGACAGGUUUUCACCCAAGUGCCAUAGAAAGACUGUCAUACAUUGAUGAUGAUGUGAAAUGUGAAUUUAAGGCCUAUUGUUUAAUCCAUUGCUCUUUUUAAUACAUUGACUUUUUAGUGUGGUAGGGCAGCCGAGAAGUUAGCAAUAUUUCAUUAUUUCUCAAGUAAAUCAACUCAAAAGAUCAUUACCAAAAUAGUAAAAUUCCACGUAUUUUCACUAUCUGCCAAGUACUAAAACCCAGCGUCAUCUUGUCAUAAAAAAAUAGCAAUAUAUUGGAAUCCUUUUUGAAGUCUUCAGUGCCCAAAGUAUGGAAGAGAUCAGUUAACAAAAAUGCAUUAAGAGGAAGAAUAAUAGGAUUUAUGGAUCUACUUUUAGUUUUGUUUUGUUUUUGCAUUUUCAUAAUGUUUAUUGAUAUGGAGAUAUUACUUUUAAACAUGCUAUAGUUUAGCUUACAUUUAGAAUACAUUUCCUGUAAAUGAAAAUGCACAAUAGUAAGCAAAGUUACUAGUACGGAUUGACCAUUGAAAUCCCAAUGAGGGUUCCAGGAGAGUAAGCCCUUGGAAAAGUCUCUUGUUAUGAUGGAACCAGGAAAGUCACAAGCAUGACAAGGAAUAUGUUCUGUGAAAAGAUGCCCCACGUGUCCAAAUGCCUGGAGACACUGGAUGAUCUUUUUUCCAGAAACAACAACAGCAGUUUUAAAUAUGAUUCAGCAAUCCCAGUGAACUUCGAUAUUCAAAGAAUUAGAAAUCAGUAUAUUGACAUGACAACUACACUUCCAUGUUUAUUGCAGCACUAUUCACAAUAGCCAAGAUAUGGAGUCAACCUAAGUUGAUUAUCAACAUAUCAACAGAUGACUGGAUAAUGCAAAUGUGGUUUAUAGCACAAAGAAAUGCUAUUUAGCCUUAACAAAGAAAUUAUUGUCAUUUGCAGCAUCAUAGAUAGAUCUAGAUAACAUUACACUAAAUGAAAUAAACCAGGAACAGAAAGACAAGUAUUGUAUGAGCUCACUUAUAAUGGGGAAUCUAAAAAAAGUAGAAAUCACAGAAGCAGAGAGCAGAAUGGUGGUUACUAGAGGCAGGGGGUGGGAGACAUGAGCAAGGAAAGGGGAGAUGUUAAUCAAAGGAUACAAGGUUUCCUUUAGACAGGAGAAAUGAGUUCUAGUGAUCUACCGCACAGCGUAGUGCCUAUAGUUAAUAAUAAUGUAUUGCAUAUUUGAAAAUUGUUAAUAGGUUUUAAAUGUUCUCACCAAAAAUGAAUGAUAAAUAUAUGAGGUGAUAAUAUGUUAAUUAGCUACAUUUCAUCAUUCCACAGUGUAUACAUAUAUCAAUACAUCACAUUUUGCCCCAUAAAUAUAUAGAAUUAUUAUUAGUCAAUUAAAAUCAAAUAAAAUUUUGAAGGGCAGUGCUUAAAUUUCAUUAUUAUGCAAUAUACUACCUAUUUGAUCUUUGUCCAGUCACCCAGCCUCACUGUAUCAUUGUUCUCCUCUCCAAAAAAUAAAAUGCUAACCAAUUAAAGAGAAGCCAGAGGAAAGCAAAUAGAAGCAAAUUAAAGUAUGUUGCAUAUACAUAGUUAAAUUAUGAAUUAUCUACUUGUAUGUGAAUAGGACCCUCCGACAUGCACUCGUAUUUUUAAAAUAAAACAUAGCCUAGUGUUCCCCUGUUGGAAUUAUAAGCAUGUGCCACUCAGAAAUCAUAUGUCAGGAAAUAACUUUGCUCUGAAAACGUUCCAUAUUUUUUUCUUUUUAUAGAGUUCUGGACUACUUGGUAAUUCCACUUAUCAUUUGACAGAUUACUUAUCUGUGACCUGUUGUACCUAUUCAUUUGGAGGACAAAAUCAGUAGCCUCUUUAAGUGCAGUAAGAUUAGUGAUGACUUUGUUUGUCAUCACAAACCAAGACUGUUUUCAGGACAGUAAGUCCCACACCUAGGUUUCAGUGGAAUUUGAUUUGUAAGAACAAAUCAGUGCUUUGGAAAUGUCGUUCUUAUUUUAAUGAGUUUAUAAUUAAGCAGAACACAGGUUGUUUUCUUUGCAGAAUCCCACCCACAAGGAUUCUAUUGAUUUACUGUUUAAUUAUAUGAAAUAGCAUGUCAGGGUGAAGGUAAAGCAGAAAACAAAUUAUGAUCUAAUCUAAAAUGUAGAUCUAUAUUAGAAUGAGACUGCUGACCUGUGAAAUACAUUCAAAUAGUAUUUACCAAAAUCAUUCCUAUUGUCAAAAUGAUGAAGAGACAUUUUCUCUGGGUGUUGCAGUGGGGACUGAGACAGCAGAAGUCUCCAAAGGUAAUUGUGAACUUAAAACUCUAAAAUAAUUUCCACAUAUUUGCAUCACAAAAUAUAUUUUUCAUUGUAGAAAGAAUAAUUUAAGUCCCUCAAAGUUUUUUAAAUUAUUACUUAUAGAGGAUAUAGGUUCGGAGACAACAGUGUUGAAUGUAGAAGAACUACUGAAAUUAAAUGCAAGAAUAUUGAAGAUUACGGCUGAGCCUGUUUGUAGUUGCAAAUGUUAUUGCUUUCACUAAAAUUACUUUGAGACUAUUAUGUUGCCAUGAACCUUAUUCAAGUGGCAAGUUUUCUCACCCAAAGUAUGUUCAUCUUUCUCAAAUGAAAAAUUAUCCACAUAUAGAACAGGUAUUUACAAUCAUAAAGCAAAAAAUUAGUUAUUAUAUUUUAAUUAUUAUACCAGGUCCUAUAGGUAGCAUCCACUGAUGUAGCAUCAUUGAAUACUACUUUAUAUAAGACCUGGCAAAAUUACACAUAGGAAUUAGAAUUUUAAAGUGAACAAAACAAUUCCUUUUCUAUAAAAGCUAAAAAUGGCAUUCAAAUGUCAUUAACAUAAAUUAACAUAUAUGCAGAAUAUUGUAAGACCACCAAGGAGGACUCUACAAAGAAGAGGUAAUUAUUUUUAUAUGAAUGGCAGCUUAUUUUCAUAAUAAUAAUUAAUCACAUAUAAUCAUUGGCUUCAUGUGAUGUCCAUUUGUGAAAUAACAUGAUAGAACAUAAAAUGUGUGCUAAGGGUAGAUAAUAUUGGAAAUCUAGAAUAGUACUCAGUUGAGGAGAACCUUGAAGGUCAAACUAAGCCACUAGAUUAUUUUUACUUCCUUGGGGAACACAAAAAGUUUUGUUUACUCUUUCCAACUCUCCGGGAAAUGGCCUGUGUAAAGAAUGCUUAAGAAGUUUGAUCUGAAAAUACAUCUAGAAUAGUCCUAACUGGGCUGUUCUCAGGUACCUUACUUGGAGAUUCCAUAUGAUUUCAAAAGCAUUUCAAUGAUGAAAAGUCUAAAAGAACACAUCCCAAAGAAUAGGCAUGUUAGGAAAUGACUCAGAAUAUCCUACAACUGAUACUGAGAAAGAUGUAGAUCACAGGCUAGGCAAAAUUUUCUGAGGGGUGUGUGGGCAACUAUUAUGUUUUGUUUUGUUUAUUGUAUGUGUGUGUGUGUAUGUGUGUGUCUAUAUAGUUAUUGGAGCACAAGCAAGGGCAUACAUACUCUGGGGGAAAAAAAUCUUCCAAACUCCUUUUACAAGGCCAGCAGUACCCUCUUGCCAUAACUAGGUAAGGAUACUACAAGAAAAUAAAAUUAUAGACCAAUAGGCCUGAUUAAUGUAAAUGCAAAAACUCAAAAAAAAAAUCAAAUUCGGCUUCACUUUAAAAGGAUUAUGCAUCAUGAACAAGUGAAAUUUAUCCCUUGGAUGCAAGGAUGUUCAACAUGUGCAAAUCAAAAAAUGUGAUACACCAUGUUAACAGAAUGAAAAAUAAAAAACAAAUGAUAAUCUUAACGCAGAAAAAGUAUUUGGUAACAUUUAAUGUCUUUUCAUAACAAAAAAUUUCAACAAAUUAUGUACAUAAACAAUGUACCUCAACAUAGUAAGUGCCAUAUACUACAUAUAAUAAGCCUGUAACCAAUGUCAUAUUCAAUGUUAGAAAUCUGAAAGCUUUUCGUCUAUGAUGAGAAACAAGAUUAAGAUGCUCACACUUUCUACUUCUGUUCAAUAGAGUACUGGAAGUCCUACCCAGUCUAACUAGGCAAGAAGAAGAAAUAAAAGUCUUCUGAAUCAGAUAAGAAGUAAAAUUGACUCUGUUUGCAGGUGACAUGAUCUUAUUUAUAGAGAACCAUAAAGACUAUUGGAAAAAACUCUCAAAGGUAAUAAAAAAAUUAAUUAAAAUUGCAUAAUACAAAGUCUACAUUAAAAAAAUUAGUUGCAUUUCCAUACUGUAACAAACUAUUCAAAAGAGAAAUUAAGAAAACAAUCUCUUACAAUAGCAUUAAAAAUAAUAAAAUGCUUAAGAAUAAAUGGAAGCAAAAAGAUCUGUACACUGAAAACAAGAAAUAUAUGGAAAAAAAUGAAAAAGACUGAAAUAAAUAAAAAAAUCAUAUGUUCAUGUACAGGAAUAAUUAAUACUGUUGAAAUGCUCAUAAUACCAAAGUGAUCACGUUGUCAAGAAAACUAUUCUACCAUUAGUAAUGUGUAUAAACAACUGUAAGAACAUAGAACAUUUUUAUUUUAUAAAAUUACUGAUUUAAAUGAACCAUUUAUAUAUCUUGUAACUUUGAAUUCUAAAAUUCUAGAGUAUUAUGCCUAAAUUAUAUCUUAAAAUUCAUUUUGGUGAAAUGGUGUUUGAAAAUAAAUGUAUAUCUAAGCUAG